rnacentral:rRNA from 1 species
GAUGAACGCUGGCGGUAUGCCUAACACAUGCAAGUCGUACGAGGGUUUUUAACUCUAGUGGCGGACGGGUGAGUAACACGUGAGAAUUUGCCUUUAGGAGGGGGAUAACAAUCGGAAACGAAUGCUAAUACCCCAUAUGCUUUCGAGUGAAAUGGAUUUAUCCGCCUAAAGAGAAGCUCGCGGCUGAUUAGCUUGUUGGUAAGGUAAGAGCUUACCAAGGCGACGAUCAGUAUCUGGUUUGAGAGGACGAUCAGACACACUGGAACUGAGACACGGUCCAGACUCCUACGGGAGGCAGCAGUGGGGAAUUUUCCGCAAUGGGCGAAAGCCUGACGGAGCAAUACCGCGUGAGGGGAGACUGCCUAUGGGUUGUAAACCUCUUUUUUCUAGGGUAGGAAUAAAAUGACGUGUACCUGAAGAAUAAGCAUCGGCUAACUCCGUG